AUUGAACGCUGGCGGCAGGCCUAACACAUGCAAGUCGAGCGAGCGGCGGACGGGUGAGGAAUGUAUGGGGACUGCCCGAUAGAGGGGGAUAACUACUGGAAACGGUGGCUAAUACCGCAUACUAUCGGAUUACCCACAUUGGAUUAGCUAGUCGGUGGGGGAAAGGCUCACCUAGGCGACGAUCGCUAGCUGGUCUGCGAGGAUGAUAGGCCACACUGGAACUGAGACACGGCCCAGACUCCGACGGAGGCAGCAGUGGGGAAUAUUGGACAAUGGGCGCAAGCCUGAUGCAGCCAUGCCGCGUGUAUGAAGAAGGCCUUAGGGUUGUAAAGCACUGUCAGCGGGGAGGCGUUACCCGCAGAAGAAGCACCGGCUAACUCCGUGCCAGCCGCCGCGGUAAUUC
rnacentral:rRNA from 1 species